rnacentral:misc_RNA from 1 species
AACGCACAUUGCGCCCCCUGGUAUUCCGGGGGGCAUGCCUGUCCGAGCGUCAUUACUGCCCUCAAGCGCGGCUUGUGUGUUGGACCUCGUCCCCUCCGGGGGGCGGGCCCGAAAGGCAGUGGCGGCGCCGUGUCCGGUCCUCGAGCGUAUGGGGCUCUGUCACCCGCUCUGGAGGCCCGGCCGGCCGCUGUCGACCACCCCCAACCCGGGCGUCCGCGCCCACCACGGUUGACCUCGGAUCAGGUAGGGAUACCCGCUGAACUUAA